rnacentral:lncRNA from 1 species
UUUGUUAAUUUUAAAUCACUGGCUCAAAAUAUUUAAGUUAUCAAUACUAUUGAGACGUGGCACAGAUACUCAAUUCGAUUGCAGUGUGAAAGCAGGAAUACUUUAAGGGCGCGUUUGGUUCGAAGUCGGAAUCGAAAUCGGAAUCGAAAUCAAAAUAAGCUGGAAUCGAAAUCGGAAUCGGAAUGACUCAUUACCUAAUUUUGUUUGGUUCAUCACCUGAAUCGGAAUCGGAAUAAAUCAUUCCCAUUGUCGGUGUUUGGUUCAGGUAGAUAUAAAAAAUGUAAUCAAAUUAAUAUACUAACAUUAUCUUUAUAAUAUAUUAAUUUAAAUUCAAAUUAAAAAUUAAAUAUUAAAAAUUUACAUCAAAAUUUUGAAAUAAUGUCAAAAUUUUAAAUCUAUUUUUUUUUAAAAAAAAUUAAACU